rnacentral:rRNA from 1 species
UACGUAGGGUGCAAGCGUUGUCCGGAAUUAUUGGGCGUAAAGAGCUCGUAGGCGGUUUGUUGCGUCGGCUGUGAAAUCCCGAGGCUCAACCUCGGGUCUGCAGUCGAUACGAGCAAACUAGAGUGUUGCAGGGGAGACUGGAAUUCCUGGUGUAGCGGUGAAAUGCGCAGAUAUCAGGAGGAACACCAAUGGCGAAGGCAGCUCGCUGGGACGGUACUGACGCUGGAGGUGCGAAAGCGUGGGGAGCGAACAGG